rnacentral:lncRNA from 1 species
AUGUAUCAGUUAAAAGCAGACACUAACAGGGAAAAUAUUAAAAUGAAUAAUCAUCAAACAAAAAUUAAGAUCAUAUUUAAUUCCAAAUCAAAUGUUUUUAUUUCAUUGAUAAAUGAUUUUGUCCCUUUUGAUUUUCCCAUUGUAAUACAUUCCGAUUAUCUCGCAUGUGAAAAUAGUUCCCAAUUUUUACUGCAAUCUCACUUCUGUAUUCCAGUUGAAGAUUUAAUUCAAGGUACUUUAACUAAUUGGUUAUACUGUGAAGGGAAAUUCAUAAUGUAUUUUUGCAUUU